rnacentral:rRNA from 1 species
UUUCCGGUUGAUCCUGCCGGAGGCCAUUGCUAUCGGAAUCCGAUUUAGCCAUGCUAGUCGCACGGGUUAGACCCGUGGCGAACAGCUCAGUAACACGUGGCCAAACUACCCUGUGGACGGGGAUAAUCUCGGGAAACUGAGGCUAAUCCCCGAUAGGGCUUCCAUCCUGGAGUGGAGGAAGUCCGAAAGGUUGCGCUGCGGCACCACAGGAUGUGGCUGCGGCCGAUUAGGUAGACGGUGGGGUAACGGCCCACCGUGCCAGUAAUCGGUACGGGUGAUGAGAGUCAGAGCCCGGAGACGGUAUCUGAGACAAGAUACCGGGCCCUACGGGGCGCAGCAGGCGCGAAACCUUUACACUGCACGACAGUGCGAUAGGGGGAUUCCGAGUGCGAGGGCAUACAGUCCUCGCUUUUCUGGAUCGUAAGGAGAUGCAAGAAUAAGGGCUGGGCAAGACCGGUGCCAGCCGCCGCGGUAAUACCGGCAGCCCGAGUGAUGGCCGAUAUUAUUGGGCCUAAAGCGUUCGUAGCCGGCCAGUCAAGUCUGUUGGGAAAUCCACGCGCUCAACGCGUGGGCGUCCAGCGGAAACUGACUGGCUUGGGGCCGGAGGACUCGAGGGGUACGUCCGGGGUAGGAGUGAAAUCCCGUAAUCCUGGACGGACCACCGGUGGCGAAAGCGCCUCGAGAGGACGGACCCGACGGUGAGGAACGAAAGCCAGGGUCUCGAACCGGAUUAGAUACCCGGGUAGUCCUGGCCGUAAACAAUGUCUGCUAGGUGUGGCGCAGGCUACGAGCCUGCGCUGUGCCGCAGGGAAGCCGUGAAGCAGACCGCCUGGGAAGUACGUCCGCAAGGAUGAAACUUAAAGGAAUUGGCGGGGGAGCACUACAACCGGAGGAGCCUGCGGUUUAAUUGGACUCAACGCCGGACAUCUCACCGGCACCGACAACAGUAAUGACGGUCAGGUUGAUGACCUUACUCGAGCUGUUGAGAGGAGGUGCAUGGCCGCCGUCAGCUCGUACCGUGAGGCGUCCUGUUAAGUCAGGCAACGAGCGAGACCCGCAUCCUUAGUUGCCAGCAACGCCAUUGGUGGUUGGGUACACUAGGGAGACUGCCGCUGCUAAAGCGGAGGAAGGAACGGGCAACGGUAGGUCAGUAUGCCCCGAAUGUGCCGGGCAACACGCGGGCUACAAUGGCCGGGACAAUGGGAUGCUAUCCCGAGAGGGAACGCUAAUCCCCUAAACCCGGUCGUAGUUCGGAUUGAGGGCUGCAACCCGCCCUCAUGAAGCUGGAUUCGGUAGUAGUCGCGUGUCAGUAGCGCGCGGCGAAUACGUCCCUGCUCCUUGUACAC